AGGAGACGUCUGCCUGCAGAAGCACCAGGAGAAGGCCAAGCUCCUCGUUCAAGAUGCACACUGUUCAUCUUUCCAUCAUCUUCUCUUGGGCAGGAAGCCUAUGUGCGACAACAUUUAAUUUUCCGUCACUUCUGCAGUGUUCUUCUAACUGAGAAGCAGGAAAAGAUGUCAUUUACUAGCAGGUCCUGGCUCCAUACUUUUAACUGUUUAAAGGAGCGGUAGAUUGCCUUCAGUUCUUCAUGGAUGUGACUGUCUGGCAAGGAGUGCUUGACUUACUGCUGCUCUCAGUUACUCAAAAGGAAGAUCUGAUAUCAACGCUAAGCAGUAGCUUUGGGAGUCCUACUGUCCUGGAUCAGGAUGGGGAGAGAAGAUUGUGACUUUUGGGAGAUCUGAUAACGUUAUACUUCCAGUGCAUCACUAAAAAAAUACACAAGCUCCCUGAAAACUGAAAUACGGUCAAGAAGGAACAACUGUCAGUUAAUUUAAGUGCAAAAUGAAAAUGUCA